rnacentral:lncRNA from 1 species
ACAGACAUGUGCCACUCAGAGUCGGAACCACAGACAUGUGCCACUAUGCCUGGUUGUUUACACAGGCUCUGGAGAUCGACCUCGAGUCCUCGGUUUUUCGAGAUGCUCCACAUUCCCCUUUGAGAGCCCUCCUGAGUGCUGAAGGUGCAGAAGAGGAAGGCAUUUAGCGAACUCCAUUAGUGCUGCGUGUCUCACGGGCCUCCGAUGCAUGGAAGGGCUCUGGACUCUCGAAGAUGGCCAUACGUCCUGGCAUAAGGACUGAGCUGUUUCUCUCCUCCACAGCCCACUCGCCUUCCUUUUGUGGUAAUUGGACCUCCCUGUGUGAACUGUUUACAGGCUCUAGCUCAGCUUUUGGCUGCUGGGAUACACCCAGGACCUCACAAUGCAAAGCAAGGAGAAAUCAAUCGAGUUACACCUUCUGCUGUCUGCGGGUGGUGUAUGCAUACAUGUAUAUGAGUAUGCAUACAUGUACAUGAGUAUGCAUAGAUACCUAUGUGUGCAUGUGUAUAUUGUUUGAGGCUGAGUCUCUAGAUAGAGCACAGGAUGGUCUCAAACUUGGAAUCUUUUUGGUCUCUCUCAUGCUAAGAUCACAGGUAUGGAGUCACUCACCAUGCUGGAGUUUUUUGCAGAGCUGUGUGACUCAUUCUUCUUUUUAUUAAAAAGAAAAGAUUCAU